rnacentral:rRNA from 1 species
AUUGAACGCUGGCGGCAUGCUUUACACAUGCAAGUCGAACGGUAACAGGGUGCUUGCACCGCUGACGAGUGGCGAACGGGUGAGUAAUGCGUCGGAACGUGCCGAGUAGCGGGGGAUAACGCAGCGAAAGUUGUGCUAAUACCGCAUACGUACUGAGGUAGAAAGUGGGGGACCUUCGGGCCUCACGCUAUUCGAGCGGCCGACGUCUGAUUAGCUAGUAGGUGAGGUAAAGGCUCACCUAGGCGACGAUCAGUAGCGGGUCUGAGAGGAUGAGCCGCGGAGCUGGGAGUGAGAGACGGACCAGACUCCUACGGGGGGCAGCAGUGGGGAAUUUUGGACAGUGGGCGGAAGCCUGAUCCAGCCAUGCCGCGUGUCUGAAGAAGGCCUUCGGGUUGUAAAGGACCUUUGUCGGGGAGGAAAUCCCUAGUGCUAAUAACACUGGGGGAUGACAGUACCUGAAGAAUAAGCACCGGCUAACUACGUGCCAGCAGCCGCCGUAA